GAUGAACGCUGGCGGCGUGCCUAAUACAUGCAAGUCGAGCGAACAGACGAGGAUCUUGCUCCUCUUACUUUCGCGGCGCACGGGUGAGUAACACGUGUAUACCACUCCUAUAAGACUGGGGUAACUUCGGGAAACCGGCGCUAAUAUCGGCUAAUAUAUUGAACCGCAUGGUUCAUUUGUGAAAGACGCUCUUGCUGUCACUUAUAGAUGGAUCCGCGCCGCAUUAGCUAGUUGGUAUGGUAACGGCAUACCAAGGCAACGAUGCGUAGAUGACCUGACAGGAGGAUCGGCCAAACUAGAACUGAGACACGGUCCAGACUCGUACGGGAGGCAGCAGUAGGGUAUCGUCCGCAAUGGGCGAGAGCUUGACGGAGCAACGCCGCGUGAGGGAUGAGGGUCUUCGGAUCGUAAAACUCUGUUACUAGGGAAGAACAAAUGUGUAAGUAACUAUGCACGUCUUGACGGUACCUAAUCAGAAAGCCACGGCUAACUACGUG
rnacentral:rRNA from 1 species